rnacentral:misc_RNA from 1 species
UACGAAAGGUGCGAGCGUUAAUCGGAAUUACUGGGCGUAAAGCGCGCGUAGGCGGUUUGUUAAGUCAGAUGUGAAAGCCCCGGGCUCAACCUGGGAAUUGCAUUUGAAACUGGCAGGCUAGAGUGCAGUAGAGGGAGGUGGAAUUUCCGGUGUAGCGGUGAAAUGCGUAGAGAUCGGAAGGAACACCAGUGGCGAAGGCGGCCUCCUGGACUGACACUGACGCUGAGGUGCGAAAGCGUGGGGAGCAAACAGG